GACGAACGCUGGCGGCGUGCUUAACACAUGCAAGUCGAACGCUGAAGCUCAGCUUUUGUUGGGUGGAUGAGUGGCGAACGGGUGAGUAACACGUGAGUAACCUGCCCCCUUCUUUGGGAUAACGCCCGGAAACGGGUGCUAAUACUGGAUAUUCACUGGUCUUCGCAUGGGGGUUGGUGGAAAGGGUUUUUCUGGUGGGGGAUGGGCUCGCGGCCUCUCAGCUUGUUGGUGGGGUGAUGGCCUACCAAGGCUUUGACGGGUAGCCGGCCUGAGAGGGUGACCGGUGACAUUGGGACUGAGAUACGGCCCAGACUCCGACGGGAGGCAGCAGUGGGGAAGAUUGCACAAGGGGCGCAAGCCUGAUGCAGCGACGCCGCGUGAGGGAUGGAGGCCGUCGGGUUGUGAACCUCUUUCGCUCAUGGUCAAGCCGCAACAAUGGUUGUGGUGAGGGUAGUGGGUAAAGAAGCGCCGGCUAACUACGUG
rnacentral:rRNA from 1 species